AGCCCAGCGUGAAGGCCUUAUCACUCCGGUGUUAAGGCGGUGCCACGUUAUUGACUUGUCGUUGUGCUUUGUCAAAGCUUCAUGAAUGCUUUUGAAUAAGCUUCAUUUCAGCCAUAGAGGGUGCAAGCCCCUUGGUGUUGUGGAGACAAAGCAUGGACUUGUCAUGAUAGAGUCGGGUUGCUUGAGAGUGCAACCUAAAGUAGAUGGUAAGCUCCAUCUAAGGCUAAAUAUCGCUGUGAGACCGAUAGCAAACAAGUACCGUGAGGGAAAGUUGCAAAGAACUUUGAAGAGAGAGUUCAAUAGGACGUGAAACCGUUUGCAGGUAAACAGAUGGACCCACGAAGUCCAGUUGAGUAAGAAAUUCAAAUUUUUCGGUUUGUUCUCUGCUGAUCGCUCUUUCCUUUACGGAGAGAAGGUUGGUACGAGAGCUAUCGAGAGAUGCAUUUUUCUUGCUCACGAUGGAGCUCUGACUGCUGUUUAACUUAGGUUGUGUAAGGCAGCCUCGGUAUGUGAGAUGUAUCUUAGGAUACACUUCUACAUGCUGGGGUUCAUGACUAAGUUGAACCAAGUGGUUGAAUUUCUCACUUAGGUGAGUGUUCAGGUUGUCAGUAUUCUUGAGCGAGUAGAGUGUGCUGGUCUUUAGAUUUUCGGCUCUUGCAGUUGAAGUUUAGAGAAGUAGUGCA
rnacentral:rRNA from 1 species